GAUUGACCUCGGAUCAGUAGGGAUACCCGCUGAACUUAAGCCUAUCCUUA
rnacentral:rRNA from 1 species